CCUACGGGAGGCAGUAGUAAGGAAUCUUCCACAAUGGACGAAAGUCUGAUGGAGCAACGCCGCGUGCAGGAUGAAGGCUUUCGGGUCGUAAACUGCUUUUAUAUGGGAAGAUUAUGACGGUACCAUAUGAAUAAGGACCGGCUAACUACGUGCCAGCAGCCGCGGUAAUACGUAGGGUCCAAGCGAUAUCCGGAAUUACUGGGCGUAAAGCGUGUGUAGGUGGAUUAAUAAGUGUGAUGCGAAAUCCGGCGGCUCAACCGUUUGGACUGUGUCGCAUACUGUUAGUCUAGAGGACGGCAGAGGUAAGUGGAAUUACGGGUGUAGCAGUGAAAUGCGUAGAUAUCCGUAGGAACACCAAUGGCGAAGGCAGCUUACUGGGCCACACCUGACACUGAGACACGAAAGCGUGGGGAGCGAACAGGAUUAGAUACCCUGGUAGUCCACGCCGUAAACGAUGCAUACUAUUAGUAUGGGGUAUCGACCCCCUGUGCUGAGAAGCUAACGCGAUAAGUAUGCCGCCUGGGGAGUACGAGCGCAAGCUUAAAACUCAAAGAUAGUAGCGNGNGAGAGCGACGACGACGACGAGGAGGAGGAG
rnacentral:rRNA from 1 species